rnacentral:lncRNA from 1 species
CUCCUGUCUGCUGCAGCCUCACACACCAGACAGUUCUCAAGAUGUCCUUCGGGGGAGCCUCCAGGAAGGAAAGAGACAAAGGAGAUAGAAGAAGUGGAAUAAGGGGAAAGAUAAGAACUGGAAAGCUGAACCAUAGCCCAGACCCAAGCAGGAGAAAGAGCAAGAAAUGCCUAUGAGAAAGCCGGAAAGAAACCCCUGGAAUUUGGAAGAAAAUGUCUAAAAGGGAAUGGCAAGGAACCUGAGGAACCAGCGUGAGGAAAACCUGGAUGAUCUGACGUCUUCCUCACUUUAUCCCUACCUGUCCACGCCUCCAUCCAUCCACCCAUCCAUCACUGAUCAAGCUCUCACUAUGUCUAUAGUGUAGAAGGUGCCACCAAAUGCAAUGGAACCUCUUGUCUCAUGUGUCUACUUGCAUCUUUAAGUUGAUACACGGAAGGCACAGUCCAAGCACAGGAUACUGGAAGCUAUGGAGGUACAGUGGCCUCUGAGCAAACUGAAAACUCUCUAUCACUAAAGGGUUGGGCAUACAGGGUAUCUCCUCUGCUCUGCCACCUACCUUGAGGAUGCUUUACAUGUGGCUAAAAGUGGAGGCAGAGAUAUUUGGAUAAAUAAAUGCUAGAGAAUUGGAAAUUCCUAGGACAAGUCAAUUUGGAUAUGUCUAUGUCAUCCUUUUUUUUCUAAGAGACACGUAACUCUGAUCCUUAAGGAGUUAGAGAGUUCCCAUAGCUUAGGGUCUGGAAGCCAUAUUCCUUUUUAUGUAACAUCCUUGAAUAUGCUACUCGUAUACCCUAAAUUUACUCUGUAAUUUUUUUUUUUUUAUUUGAGAGGGAGUCUCACUCUGCUGCC